rnacentral:rRNA from 1 species
GACGAACGCUGGCGGCGUGCUUAACACAUGCAAGUCGACGGAAAGGCCUGCUUUCCCUUGUGGAUUGCGGGUACUCGAGUGGCGAACGGGUGAGUAACACGUGAGUUAUCUGCCCCCCACUUGGGUAUAAGCCUGGGGAACUUGGUCUAAUUCCCGAUAGGACUGCAGGGUGGUGCCUGUGGUGGGAAACGAUUUUCUAGUGGUUGGGGAUGGGCUCGCGGCCUAUCAGCUUGGUGGUGGGGUAAUGGCCUACCAAGGCGGCGACGGGUAACCGGCCUGAGAGGGUGGACGGCCACAUUGGGACUGAGAUACGGCCCAGACUCCUACGGGAGGCAGCAGUGGGGAAUAUUGCACAAUGGGCGGAAGCCUGAUGCAGCGACGCCGCGUGGGGGAUGACGGCCUUCGGGUUGUAAACUCCUUUCGACCGCGAGGAAGCCACCUGGUUGGAAGGGUGGUGACGGUAGUGGUAGAAGAAGCACCGGCUAACUACGUG